rnacentral:rRNA from 1 species
GUAUACUACUACAAGACGAGAAGACCCUUUGGAGCUUAAGGUAUAAAAUUCAACCACGUUAAACGACUCUAUAAAAAGCAGGAACUUAGUGGCCGUGAAAUUUUACCUUCGGUUGGGGCGACCACGGAGUAAAAAUCAACCUCCGAGUGGACUGGGCCAAACCCCUAGAACUAAGAGAAACAUCUCUAAGCCACAGAACAUCUGACCAAUAAUGAUCCGACUACAAUAGUCGAUCAACGAACCAAGUUACCCUAGGGAUAACAGCGCAAUCCUCUCCCAGAGCCCAUAUCAACGAGAG